AGCCCAUGGUGAGGGCACUUUCUCAAGAGGUCCUUGUAUCUCUUGAAUGCAUAUAGAGUGUUUCUAGAUCCAUCUGCACAAAAGAAGAGAUAUCAUUCCUUAAUUU
rfam:Gossypium hirsutum cultivar TM-1 chromosome 16, whole genome shotgun sequence